UCCAAUCAAUCACAAUUAAUUCUAAUUAACCUAAUCAAUUAUCAGUUAUUAAUUCCCUUAAUCCAUACAUUAUCAGUCGCAAUUUAAUCAAUUAAUAACAAUUAAAAAUAAAAUAAAUAAUACAAAGGGGCUUAGGGUUUACUUACAAUGUGACGAUUGGACUUCUCAACAUAUCUUCUCCCUCACCCGUGAACGAAGACGGCGGCGCGAUGUUGCUUCUUCUUCUCCGAUCAACUCUCGUCCUCCGCCAUCGCGAACAACCGAUGAACAACGCAUUCACUACCUUGCCUUCCUCUCGCCCGAUUCGUCAUCUCUUCGCUUAGCUCGACGACUCGUUUCUGCUCAAAUUCAACUCCUCUCCGAUUCAACUCCGUCCACCCUUCUCCGAAUCGAUCUCUCUCACCACGAAUCUUCAAUACUGAUGACACGAAAAACCGGCAAAUGAACUUCGCGUUCUUCAGGUGAUGAUGAAGUUCGUUGUCUACUUGAUGAAGGCGACGGAGCGAAUAAGAAGAUUGAAGGUUGACGAGAGGUUGGUUGAAGAUGAAGGUUCUGAGAUGCGAUGGAGAAUCUAAGGAGAAAGAUGAUUCUGAGUUUAGAGAGGAAGAUUGACGAUGAUGAAGAUAUAGAGAUGAUGAAGAUUCAGAUUGAAGAUUAUGGAGGUUGAAGAAUUGGUGGUGAAGAUUGGAGAAGAUGAAGUUUGUUACUGAUUCUUGUUGGUUAUGGAGAGGCUUGAAGGUGUGAAAAAUGGUGAGAUUGAAGAUUGGUUAGAGAAGAUUCUGGUGAUUUGAGGUGUGAAGAAGCUCAAGAGGGAUUGUUCUGAGAAUUGAAGGAUGGAGAGAGCAUUGGUGUGUAGCUCUGUGGUAUGAAGUGUUGAUGGUGAUGAAUGGAGCAAUGAAGAAUGGUUGAAGUGAGGAUGGAGAUGAAUGAAUUGUGAAGAGAAGAAGAAGAUGCAGAGCAAAAUGGUGGGGACUGAUAAAGAUGUGUGUGAAUUGUGGAGAGGCUGAAUUGAGGAAUGUGGUUCUGAUUUAUAGAGGUGGAGAGAAGCGAUUCUGAAGGUCUGUUUUUGAGGUGCUGCAAGUCUGUGAAUGUUUGAUGGCAGCUCCGGUUUUAUUUUGCGGGUUUUGAGUGGUUUUCUAGAAGGUAUUGGCAUGGUGUCGAAGUCUGAAGUAUGUGGCUUGGAUGUUACGAAACUGUGAGCGAACCGUAUGGUGAAGAUGUGCGCAUAGCUUAGAUUAUAUUGAAGAUUCUGAUUUAGGUUUUGGAACUUGUCAAGUCAAAAGAUAGGCUGCAGCGAGUGUAUUGGUGCGGAGACGCAACUAGUGUAAUCGCACGGCUCAUGGUGUAUUUGGAACGACACAGAGAUGGGCUAAACUAUGAAGCUUGAAGAUUGGGGAGAAAGAAUAUGCUUGAAGUUUAGUAUAGAAAUGUAACUAAUUGACUUUGUAAUGAGACUUUUUCCUCUUUUUUGUAUUGAAUUGGAUUGGAAGGGAACAUUGAGCAUGUAGAUGAUUCUCCUUGUAAAG